GUGGGUCUGUACUAUUUCCUCUGUGGUUCUCAUGCUUGCGAAGGGCACUGCUAUUCACAAGUCUUUUCUUGUUCCUUUAUUUGCUUUACAAGCUCCUACUGCAGUUGUCUCGUGGAUCCAGGGUGAAUAUGGCAUUUGGUCAGCAUUUUUGGCACUUCUUGUUCGUCUCUUCUUCUCCUUUCCUGGUGAACUUGAAUUGCCAUUUAUAGCAUUAUUGAUGGUAAUUGUGGCUCCUUAUCAAGUUGCAAAUCUAAGGGGGACAAAGGAAGGUGUCAUUCUUUCCUUGGCUAUAGCAGCUUAUCUGGGUUUCCAGCAUUUCACACGUGCUGGCAGCUUGCAGAAGGCGUUUGAUCAAGGUUCAAUAAUUGCCACCCUAGCCAUCAUUUGUAUUCUUGCUGUGCCAUGCUUGCUCUUGAUUUGAUGUUAAACU
rnacentral:misc_RNA from 1 species